GUUACAAUUUAAUAUUGUAUGACGUUCUGAUGUUACAAGUAGUGUAUAAGAAAAUGGGCAACUUUCGCCGCCCAUUUUAAAUAAGGUGCACAGGUGUGAAUGAGUUAGCCAGUGUGCACAUGCCCGAAGGCCAGCAACAACAUAGCUUGAAUCUCAAUAAUGAUCCUUCCGCAGGUUCACCUACGGAAA
rnacentral:misc_RNA from 1 species